AAGAACCUGUCUUGGGUCUUCAAUUUGUCUAUAGGUGUUCAGAAGGAACUUUCAGGUUGUUAAAAAAAGCUGUGUACUACAGAAAGAAUCACUGUUAUUUGCUUUCUUGUCCAAUGGCCUCCUUUCCUGGUCCCUUCCCUUAGUACAGACACAUCAUAGAAUGUUUGUUUCUCAUUCGUCCCAGGCACAGCACCUUCUGCACCCAGGCUGGAAUCCCACAUCCCAGUUUUCAGAGUUGUGGACUUACUCCUACUGCAUUAACAAAGGCCAUCUCUUUUGUCCUCAAGAAACUGCUCAGAUAGCCAGGCCCAGAAGUGACCAAUAGCUCCACUUUAUCCCAAGGAUUAUGAGGACAUCACCAAGCGAGCAGGCUGCCGCCAUGGAAGCCGAACACAGAAAAGUAUGCACAGCAAUGAUCAGCUGUUCAUGAGAAAUGUCUGCGAGAAGUGGGAGUAAAGGACGCAGUUGUUCUGACCCUGAGUAGGUCCAGAUCUUGUUGAUCAGGACCAGAUUAUCUUACGACCAAGGGAUAACAUGCCAGACAUCCAGUGCCAGUGCUGUCGGAUGCCCUUGGAUUUCCCUAUGUGGGUUAUUUUCUGAGGCCAGACCAACCUUUCUCAGAGCUGCAGUCAAAGGCUCUAUAGCUCAAGAGUUACACAGAUUCUCAUGGUCUGUGUGAAGAUGCCCAACAUCUUUAGCUCUGAUGAUGUCAGGCUUUCAAUGACCCACACAGUUAGUUUUAUCCUUUUCUCCUAUUGAAAUCUAACCACAGACUUCCCCACUGUUAUGACUCACGGUUAGCCUUUCAUUCUACAGUGGUCCAUCUGCCAAUGUCAACUGUGCUGUGGUUUGGCAUGGAAUGUCCCUCAAAGGCUCAUAUGUUGAAGGUUUAAUCUCUAGCUGGUGGUGUUAUUGACUGUGAUCCAUUGAUUUUUAAAAAAAUGCUUUUGUAAUUAGCUCUUUGAGAAUUUUGUACAAUGUUGUAAAUCAUAUUUACCAUUUCCUCAA